rnacentral:rRNA from 1 species
AUUGAAUGCUGGCGGCAGGCCUAACACAUGCAAGUCGAGCGAGCGGCGGACGGGUGAGUAAUGUAUGGGGACUGCCCGAUAGAGGGGGAUAACUACUGGAAACGGUGGCUAAUACCGCAUACUAGCGGAUAACCCAUAUGGGAUUAGCUAGUAGGUGGGGUAACGGCUCACCUAGGCGACGAUCUCUAGCUGGUCUGAGAGGAUGAUCAGGCACACUGGAACGGAGACACGGCCCAGACUCGUACGGAGUCAGCAGUGGGGAAUAUUGCACAAGGGGCGCAAGCCUGAUGCAGCCAUGCCGCGUGUAUGAAGAAGGCCUUAGGGUUGUAAAGUACUUUCAGCGAGGAGGCGUUACCCGCAGAAGAAGCACCGGCUAACUCCAUGCCAGCAGCCGCGGUAAUUC